rnacentral:rRNA from 1 species
AACGAACGCUGGCGGCAUGCCUAACACAUGCAAGUCGAACGUGAUCCGGGACUUCGGUUUCGGUGAAAGUGGCGGACGGGUGAGUAACGCGUGGGAACCUGCCCAGUGGUAGGGGAUAACCGCGGGAAACUGCGGCUAAUACCCUAUGUGCCCUGCGGGGCAAAGAUUCAUCGCCAUUGGAGGGGCCCGCGUCGGAUUAGGUAGUUGGUGGGGUAACGGCCGUACCAACGACCUU